rnacentral:rRNA from 1 species
UACGUAGGGCGCAAGCGUUGUCCGGAAUUAUUGGGCGUAAAGAGCUCGUAGGCGGCCUGUUGCGUCCGCUGUGAAAUCCCGGGGCUCAACCCCGGGCGUGCAGUGGAUACGGGCUGGCUGGAGGCAGGCAGGGGAGAACGGAAUUCCUGGUGUAGCGGUGAAAUGCGCAGAUAUCAGGAGGAACACCGGUGGCGAAGGCGGUUCUCUGGGCCUGUACUGACGCUGAGGAGCGAAAGUGUGGGGAGCGAACAGG